GCUUAACACAUGCAAGUCGAACGGAAAGGCCCUGCUUUUGUGGGGUGCUCGAGUGGCGAACGGGUGAGUAACACGUGAGUAACCUGCCCUUGACUUUGGGAUAACUUCAGGAAACUGGGGCUAAUACCGGAUAGGAGCUCCUGCUGCAUGGUGGGGGUUGGAAAGUUUCGGCGGUUGGGGAUGGACUCGCGGCUUAUCAGCUUGUUGGUGGGGUAGUGGCUUACCAAGGCUUUGACGGGUAGCCGGCCUGAGAGGGUGACCGGCCACAUUGGGACUGAGAUACGGCCCAGACUCCUACGGGAGGCAGCAGUGGGGAAUAUUGCACAAUGGGCGGAAGCCUGAUGCAGCAACGCCGCGUGCGGGAUGACGGCCUUCGGGUUGUAAACCGCUUUCGCCUGUGACGAAGCGUGAGUGACGGUAAUGGGUAAAGAAGCACCGGCUAACUACGUGCCGGCAGCCGCGGUGAUACGUAGGGUGCGAGCGUUGUCCGGAUUUAUUGGGCGUAAAGGGCUCGUAGGUGGUUGAUCGCGUCGGAAGUGUAAUCUUGGGGCUUAACCCUGAGCGUGCUUUCGAUACGGGUUGACUUGAGGAAGGUAGGGGAGAAUGGAAUUCCUGGUGGAGCGGUGGAAUGCGCAGAUAUCAGGAGGAACACCAGUGGCGAAGGCGGUUCUCUGGGCCUUUCCUGACGCUGAGGAGCGAAAGCGUGGGGAGCGAACAGGCUUAGAUACCCUGGUAGUCCACGCUGUAAACGGUGGGUACUAGGUGUGGGGUCCAUUCCACGGGUUCCGUGCCGUAGCUAACGCUUUAAGUACCCCGCCUGGGGAGUACGGCCGCAAGGCUAAAACUCAAAGGAAUUGACGGGGCCCCGCACAAGCGGCGGAGCAUGCGGAUUAAUUCGAUGCAACGCGUAGAACCUUACCUGGGUUUGACAUGGAUCGGGAGUGCUCAGAGAUGGGUGUGCCUCUUUUGGGGUCGGUUCACAGGUGGUGCAUGGCUGUCGUCAGCUCGUGUCGUGAGAUGUUGGGUUAAGUCCCGCAACGAGCGCAACCCUUGUUCACUGUUGCCAGCACGUUAUGGUGGGGACUCAGUGGAGACCGCCGGGGUCAACUCGGAGGAAGGUGGGGAUGACGUCAAGUCAUCAUGCCCCUUAUGUCCAGGGCUUCACGCAUGCUACAAUGGCUGGUACAGAGAGUGGCGAGCCUGUGAGGGUGAGCGAAUCUCGGAAAGCCGGUCUCAGUUCGGAUUGGGGUCUGCAACUCGACCUCAUGAAGUCGGAGUCGCUAGUAAUCGCAGAUCAGCAACGCUGCGGUGAAUACGUUCCCGGGGCUUGUACACACCGCCCGUCAAGUCAUGAAAGUUGGUAACACCCGAAGCCGGUGGCCUAACCGUUGUGGGGGAGCCGUCGAAGGUGGGACUGGUGAUUAGGACUAAGUCAUAA
rnacentral:rRNA from 1 species